GACGUAGGGGGCAAGCGUUGUUCGGAAUUAUUGGGCGUAAAGCGCUCGUAGGCGGGAUCGCAAGUCCGUGUUGAAAGACCUCGGCUCAACUGAGGGACCGGCUCGGAUACUUCGAUUCUUGAGGCAAUCAGAGGGUGAUGGAAUUCCCGGUGUAGCGGUGAAAUGCGUAGAGAUCCGGAGGAACACCGACGGCGCAGGCAGCGUCCUGGCCGCUUGCUGACACUGAGGCACGAAAGCUGGGGGAGCAAACAGG
rnacentral:rRNA from 1 species